rnacentral:rRNA from 1 species
GGUCUCUAUACAGGUGGUGCAUGGUUGUCGUCAGCUCGUGUCGUGAGAUGUGGGUUAAGUCCCGCAACGAGCGCAACCUCGUUCUAUGUUGCCAGCACGUAAUGGUGGGGAACUCAUGGGAUACUGCCGGGGUCAACUCGGAGGAAGGUGGGGAUGACGUCAAAUCAUCAUGCCCCUUAUGUCUUGGGCUUCACGCAUGCUACAAUGGCCGGUACAAAGGGCUGCAAUACCGUAAGGUGGAGCGAAUCCCAAAAAGCCGGUCCCAGUUCGGAUUGAGGUCUGCAACUCGACCUCAUGAAGUCGGAGUCGCUAGUAAUCGCAGAUCAGCAACGCUGCGGUGAAUACGUUCCCGGGUCUU